rnacentral:lncRNA from 1 species
UCAAGCUUAGGACCACCCACCAUGCCUAUCCAGGUGCUGAAGGGCCUGACCAUCACUCAUUAAGAACAGAGGAGGCUGCCUGUUACUCCUGGUGUUGGUGAGAAGGCAGAUGUAGACAGGCGUGGCUGCAGCCAUGGCUAGGAAAGCGCUGCCACCCACCCACCUGGGCCAGAGCUGGUUCUGCUCCUGCUGCAGGGACACUGAGCUGGCUAUCUCGGCGCUUCGGGCAAGAACUGCAACAGGCUCUCCUGGGUCCUGCAGGUGUACAGCCGGGCCCCUGCCUUGUGCCUCAGCUCUCGAGAGCUGCUGCUGCCGGGUGACCUGAUCCAACCUGAUAAGGUGCCAUCUUCAGCUACCACUGCAAGGCCCUGAGGGCAACAGCAGCACGGCACUGCCCACCCGGCUGCUGAUGGCCUGGUGCCAGCUGGGAGUCCUCCCGGCACUUCGAGGCCACUGAGCCACCCUUCCAGCCCCAGCCCACCAUGGACAGGGGUAUCCAGCUUCCUCCUCAACCUCGUCCUCUGCCCCUGAGCCAGUGACGCCCAAGGACAUGCCUGUUACCCAGGUCCUGUACCAGCACUAGCUGGUCAAGGGCAUGACAGUGCUGGAGGCCGUCUUGGAGAUCCAGGCCAUCACUGGCAGCAGGCUGCUCUCCAUGGUGCCAGGGCCCGCCAGGCCACCAGGCUCAUGCUGGGACCCAACCCAGUGC